UUUUUUGAACAAAUGGAUUGAAUUAUCAUUGAAAGAAAUCCCAAUUGUCACAACAUGAUAGGUCGUCUAGCUAGUUUUUCCAUGCAUGUAAGAAGUCGCCAUUGACGAAGACCGUAAAGAACAACCAGCCAACUCUAUAAAACAUAUCAUUUCAUUCAUUUGGUCUUUCCAUAUACCAAAUACAAGUUUUUCAUAGGUGAUCAUAUCUUGAUUUCAACAAUGAGUUACGACAACAACAAUCAUCAAGCUUCCGCAGGGGUAUAUCCACCAAAGCAGGAGGUGUGGUCUCCUGA